AUCUCGAUUUGAUUAUUGUUCUUUUUAAAGUUUCUUACUCAUUCAAUGACAGUUUUCAGCCAAACAGUGAACGGAUACAAAAGUCUUGAGAGUCUUUUUAACAUCUGAACGUCAAGCAGCGACUCAUCUACCUUUUUGACUAUUGCUUUAAAAUGCGAUUCAGAGAUGGACUUCGGGUCGAAAUCAACAACCGAACUGAUCAUUUCUCGUUUUUUAUAGUCCCGGAGGCAGUCUCUCCAGGUCGGGUUCAUGCUCCCUAUAACACUACGAGGACCCCGCAGAAGACAUUGGUGACUUCAGGUUUCGGAGCCUUUCCGAAGUCUCACAUUUCGUAAA
rnacentral:ribozyme from 1 species